CAGGAAUGUUUUCCUGGCUGCUCAGGCUAUGUCAGAAAGAGAAUGGCGAUGAAGGAGAGACCAGACCAACAGAGAAGGAAGAGGGAAUCCUUUCUCAUGAAAAAGGAAGAAGGAAAUGGUUAUGGAGAAUGCACACAUCAAGCAGAAACACCGCCUCUGUGAGUGCACUCAACUAAAGAAAAAAGUGAGGAUAUUACUGAAUGAGAACAGAAAGCUGCUGGUGGAGCAGGCUUGAACGAAAGUGUCCCAUGGGGAAGAAAAGAGGUUCUGUGAGGAGGCCAGCAAGAACAUCUGUGCCUCAAGUGCCAAGGAACAGCAGUGUGAAAUAGUCCAGCAGAAAGCAGAACAUGGCACAGACCACGACAUGAUCUCCCUCAAAGAGAAUUGCUGGAGGAGGAGCACUGUGUGUGCACAAAAAAUACACCAUUGUUGCCUCUCAUCCCUAAUAACCAUGGCUGUAAUGGGCUGUAUGCUCCUCCUUUAUU
rnacentral:lncRNA from 1 species